UCACAGAUAAAACAGAAUAUCAUUUUGAUAAGCAUGUUUAGGUUCUGCGCUGCAUUUUUGAAAUUCUGCAUUUCUCUAACCAACAGACAUACUGUGUAUAUCAGUCUUCUACUGACAGCAGGUAUCAUCGAUGGAGAUGAAGUAACACAAGAAUCGAGUAAAACUGCAUAUGAAGAGGGAAGUGUUGUCCUCCUCUGUAAUUUCACAACAACAUCUGCAGUAGCACAACUGUACUUCUACUGGUAUCAGCAGAAAGCAAAUGGACCUUUGGAGUACCUACGUCUUCAGAUGUAUAAAACUAAAACUGAUGCAAAAGAAGGUCGUUUCACAUCACACUUUGAUGUAUCCAACAAUUUUGUGUAUUUGAAUAUUUCCAGAGCCCAUCUCUCUGACUCGGCAGUUUACUACUGUGCGAUGAGUGACACAGUGAUGACAUCUUCACUAACAUGAGACAAGAACUUGAGCCAGGUGUUUGUGAAGAAAACUUCACUUUCUCCUUGAGAAGAAACAGGGCAGGGACAUUCUUAAAGUACAGUAAAUAUUGUAUGGUAUGGCAGUCACUGAUGGUUUGGU